CCUACGGGGGGCAGCAGUGGGGGAUAUUGCACAAUGGGGGAAACUCUGAUGCAGCGACGCCGCGUGUGGGAAGACGGUCCUCUGGAUUGUAAACCACUGUACCCAGGGACGAAGAUGACGGGACCGGGGGAGGAAGCGCCGGCUAACUACGUGCCAGCAGCCGCGGGAAUACGGAGGGAGCGAGCGGUGUCCGGAAUUACUGGGUGUAAAGGGAGCGUAGGCGGGACUGCAAGUUGGGUGUCAAAUCUACCGGCUCAACCGGGAGCCGCACUCCAAACUGCAGUUCUUGAUUGAAGUAGCGGCAGGCGGCAUUCCUCGUGUAGCGGUGAAAUGCGUAGAUAUUAGGAG
rnacentral:rRNA from 1 species